GACGAACGCUGGCGGCGUGCCUAAUACAUGCAAGUUGAACGCUAAAGCUUUAACUGGUGCUUGCACCGACUUAAGUUUUUAGAGUAGCGGACGGGUGAGUAACACGUGGGUAACCUGCCCAUCAGAGGGGGAUAACACUUGGAAACAGGUGCUAAUACCGCAUAAUUCCUUUUACCGCAUGGUAAAAGGCUGAAAGGCGCUUCUGGUGUCACUGAUGGAUGGACCCGCGGUGCAUUAGCUAGUCGGUGGGGUAACGGCCUACCGAGGCGAUGAUGCAUAGCCGACCUGAGAGGGUGAUCGGCCACAUUGGGACUGAGACACGGCCCAAACUCCUACGGGAGGCAGCAGUAGGGAAUCUUCGGCAAUGGACGAAAGUCUGACCGAGCAACGCCGCGUGAGUGAAGAAGGUUUUCGGAUCGUAAAACUCUGUUGUCAGAGAAGAACGAAUGUGAGAGUAACUGCUCAUGUUGUGACGGUAACUGACGAGAAAGCCACGGCUAACUACGUGCCAGCCGCCGCAGUAACAC
rnacentral:rRNA from 1 species